rnacentral:rRNA from 1 species
AUUGAACGCUGGCGGCAUGCCUUACACAUGCAAGUCGAACUGUAACGGGCCUUCGGGUGCCGACGAGUGGCGAACGGGUGAGUAAUGCAUCGGAACGUACCUUUCAGUGGGGGAUAACGUAGCGAAAGUUACGCUAAUACCGCAUAUUCUGUGAGCAGGAAAGCAGGGGAUCGCAAGACCUUGCGCUGAUUGAGCGGCCGAGGUCAGAUUAGCUAGUUGGUGAGGUAAAGGCUCACCAAGGCGACGAUCUGUAGCGGGUCUGAGAGGAUGAUCCGCCACACGGGACUGGAGACAGGGUCCAGACUCCUACGGGAGGCGGCAGUGGGGAAUUUUGGGCAAUGGGGGCAACCCUGAUCCAGCCAUGCCGCGUGAGUGAAGAAGGCCUUCGGGUUGUAAAGCUCUUUCGGCCGGGAAGAAAUCGCACGGGCUAAUACCCUGUGUGGAUGACGGUACCGGAAUAAGAAGCACCGGCUAACUACGUGCCAGCCGCCGCGGUAAGAC